AGCUUUCUUCCCGCCAGGCCCCCUCCACCCGAUCGCCGCGCGCUCUCCGAACCAAAAGGCGACCUCACGAAAUGCCCCUUUGAGCUCAAAGGCUAGUUACCCCCAGGGGCCCUUCCACUCUCGGGGACAGGCGAAACCUCUUUGUCUCUGCCUCGGCCUGCGGCCCCCAGCCCAGCCUCCGCGCUUUCCCUCCGCCAGUCCUUGUCAAUCAAACCUGGUGCCAAACGCGGCAGCUGAAGUUUUCAGGGACACAUUUGCUUCUCCCCUUGAAGAACCAGUUACAAAGCGUGAUGUCCUCUCUGGGGUCCCAUCAGAACAAAGAAACAGGUAAUAUAACUCCACUCCGGGUACCUGCCUUUCCUCCAGCUCGCUAGGAAAAAUCAGAACUUCUGUAACAGAGAGGACCCAAGGGAAAGGGGCAGGCGGAGAGGGGUUGGUGAAGGGCGGGAAUGGGGGGCGUUGAUUUUCCAUUCUGGCAGGAGAGGUGGAGUUAAAUUCCUCAGAAACGAUGUCCAGGCUUGAAAAGUAACACACAUCUGCGUGCUUGUCUUCCAACAUCAGAGCCAGCCUAGAGGAAGCUGGCUAGUGUCACUGCUAGUACGAAUAUCCCCGAGGCUGGAAAGCAUCUGGGUGGAGGUUGUGAGCUUUCCAGACCAGGCCUCGGCUGUUUUUCUAAAACUAUUAACCGUAAUGACCUAGUCGUUCUUUUCACACAGUUCUGUUACUUAUUCUGCAGGUGUAUUCUGACUAAAAGUGGGAGGAAUAAAAAAUAGAGUGUAAAAUGGUUCACUUGCCCAAAACUUAAUCAUCAUGAAGUGUCAGUAACGUCAUUUAUUUCUAUUAAUUGAAAUUUUGAUACAAGAAAAAUAAUUAUGAAUCUAAAAGGUAUAAGCAGAACAGGUAUUCCAUAACUUUAAAAAGAAAUGAGCCGCAGGGAAACCCUUAGUUUGAGAACUUGUCUUGUGAUUAACCUACACAGAAGGUCAUUCAACUAAUGGAUUCCCACUGCAGUCCAAACUCACAGACAGGAAAUGACACAGCCCCAUGUUUUAAAAUAAUAAUGAGCCGUGGUAAGUGUGACCAUAGGGACGGUUUCCAGAUACUGAAGGUACAAUGAAGUGAGAUUAGUAAUGAUCCCACUUAGUAAGGAUUUUAAACUAAGUUAUUGAUUUAAAACUUUUUGUAGGGGUCAGGAGUUGCUGCUUUGUCUUUUAGGGAUUAAUAAUUCGUGGUUCCCAACUGGGGACAAUUUAGUUCCGAGGGAUAUUUGGCAAUGUCUAGAGACAUUUUGGUUGUCACAAUUGGAGAGGGGACCUAUCUAAUGGGUUGGGGCCAGGGAUAUUACUGAACACCUCACACUACACAGCCCCUCACGACGAAGCAUUAUCCAGCCCCAAAUGUCAAUAGUGCUGAGGCUGAAAAAUCCUGGCUUAAAUUAAUGCUCAGUACAUUAUUUAAUUUUGACUUGCUUAUAAAUUUAUAUCACAUGAAAACAAACUCAAAGAUAACAUACUGUUUUUCACUUUUGAAAAUCAUGAAUGUUAGGCAUAUGAUAAUUUUAAUAACAAGCAUAUGAUUAUUUUAUUCCGCUUACUUGUACAACAUAAUUUGGGUGCCAUUUCUUCAGGAGAAAACAUUUGUCAUUUGGAAUGCUCUGUUUCAGUCCUUAAGCUUCUACGUAUAAUUACAGCAUAUUAUUCAUAAACGGAGUCCCCAAUGAAAAUAGGAUUAAGUUCCAAAAGUUUGCUUUUAAGUUAGUUGCUUCUAAGUCUUAGACACUGUCUUGAAUAAAAUUUUUGUAGAGAUUUGAUAUUCCCUAUUAAGUUUUAAGGGCCUUUCCCACUCUGACUUCUACUCUUUCCUCCCUGACUAAUUUGACCUGCAAACUCUCAUCUUAAAAUAGUACCUCUCACAUAUGUGUAAGUUUUCAUUACAGAUUGUUCUAUUAUUGAAUAAUUUUUAAAAUAUUUUAAAAUUAAAAUAAACAUCAAAAUUUAAACCAUUUGAAGUUUAGGAGUUUUUGUAGUCACAAAUGCUUAAAAAUAGUUUUUAAUAAUUAGAGUUCUAAUCUAUCAGAAGCAAAAAGGAUGAAACAUUUACAAGACUAUAAUAUAACAUUUGGAUCUGCUUUAAAGCCUAAAAACCAGAGAGGUGCCCAGUAGCCAAAAAUCAAAACAUAGGCUGAACCUGAGAAGACAUGUAAUCAAAAACUGACCUCUAGUGAUGGCUUGUUACCAAAACCCACCAUCUAGGUAAAAUCAGGCUACAGAAAAGGUAGCUUUAAUGUCUUUUCAUUGUGGUUAUUAUGUUACAUGGUUAUUGGCAAUUUAUUGUCUCAGCUUCCCUUUUAUAAAUAAUUAUUAGUAAAGUGAACAGCCCCAGAGAGAUGGGAUUCUUAGAUUUCAGUGUGUCUAACAAUGCAGACACUCGACAGGUUUUAAGGGAACCAUCACUAACCUUAAUCUUAGCCCUCUUCUCCCAGGCUGACCAAUCAAGAGUGUUUGAUUUUAGGAAAUAAAUGUUAACUGACUAAAUGAGCUGAUGCUAAUCAACAUUAACUGGAAGAAAAAAGAGAACUGAUAUUAAAGAGCCAGCACAAAGUUCAACAAUUGGCAUUUGUUUAAGCUACAUAAGUAAAACCAGUUUGCAUUUGAAAUUUCUGUGAGCAUUUAAAAAACUAGCUCAUGGCAUACUACUGUGAAUAUUGUCCUUUGCAUAUUCAUGUAAGUACCAAUUACAAAAACCUAUGGGUUUUUAAAUCAAUAUAAAAAAUUGGCCGGGCGCGGUGGCUCAUGCCUGUAAUCCCAGCACUUUGUGGCCAAGGCAGGCGGAUUGCCUGAGGUCAGGAGUUCGAGACCAGCCUGGCCAAUAGGGUGAAACCCCAUCUCUACUAAAAAUACAAAAAUUAGCUGGGCAUGGUGGCAGGUGCCUGAAACCUGAAACCCCAGCUACUUGGGAGGCUGAGGCAGGACAAUCACUUGAAUUCAGGAGGUGGAGGUUGCAGUGAGCCAAGAUCACAUUGCACUCCAGCCUGAGUGACUAGAGUGAAACUCCAUCUCAAAAAAAAAAAAAAUUAUCUGUGUAAUCAUAGUUUAGGGGGUCUGGGAAGCUGGUGAGGAAUAGAAGCUAUGUUAGUUUCCUACGGCUGCUGUAAGAAAUUACCACAAACUGGGUGGCUGAAAACAACAGAAAUCAUUUCUAUCACAGUUCUGGAGGUCAGAAGCCCAAAAUGAAGGGGUUGGCAGGGUGGAUUCUUUCUGGAAGCAUUGAGGGAGAAACCAUCCCAUGCCUCUGCCAGAGCUUCUGUUGGUUGUUGGCAGUCCUUGGUGUUCCUUGGCUUAUAAAUGCAGCCAAUCUCUGCCUCCAUCUUCACAUUGCCUUCUUCUCUAUGUGCCUGUGUCCAAACCUCCCUCUCCUCUCUCUUAUAAAGAUACCAGUCAGUGGUCUUAAGGACCACCCUAAGUCCAGGAUGGUUUCUGUCUUGAGAUCCUUGACUAAUUACAUCUACGAAGCCUGUAUUUCCAAAUAAAGGCGGACACAGAUACUUUGAGGGGGAACACUAUUCAGCCCACUACAUGGGCAUUCUGUGUGUUUAAGGGUAACACACUGUAAAGAGGGUUUUGGGGGUCUUUGGGGGGAAGUUUCUUUGUUUUUUGAAGAGGGAUGGAUUUGCCAGUUAUUGAGUUUAAAGUGAAAAUCCAAAUUAUUUGAGGGAAAUUCAGGUGAAAGUCAUUUUGUAUUAAUAAUUGGGGAAAAAUUUCCUUAGUUAUAUACCCGGUUUACUGGUUUAAUAAGCACUCAACCUAAUUGAACUUUUCCUGCAAUUUCUAUAUAUCAUAUAUUUAUCACCAUUAUCAAACUACUUGAUUAUAAAACCCCAUAAUAGUACUUGAUAAAAGAACUUCAGCCAAAUUAAAUUUAAAGGAGUUUAAUUGAGCAAUGAACCAUUCAUGAAUCGGGCAGCCCCCAGAAUCACAGCAGAUUCACAGAGACUCCAGGGGUGUCUUGUGGUCAGAACAAAUUUAUAGACAAAAAAGGUAAAGUGAGGUACAGGAAUUGGAAAUGAGGUACAGAAACAGUGAGAUUGGUUACAGCUCAGCAUUUGCCUUAUUUGAAUGCAGUUUGAACAUUCAGUAGUCUAUGAGUGGUUGAAGUAUGGCUGCUGGGAUUGGCCACCACUCAGCUCCUGUUACAGGUGCAUAGUUAUUAAGUCAGGUUUUCAAUUUUGCUUAUUAAGUUAGAUUACAGUUCAUCCACAAAGACUCAAAUAUAGAAGUACGGAGUCUUUCUCAGGCCAUAUUUAGUUUGCUUUAACACGCUUAACAUUUUUAUAAUACUUCACUUUUUAAAUUUUGCAUUUGAUUAAAAGUUCUAAUUUAAUAUAAGUUUUGCAAAGCAUCAUCUCUUUGAAGAUCUUUUUUUAUGCUACAUGUUACCCAUAAUAGAAAAAUAAAAACCAGAAUAUCUCACCUCCACUGGUUCGUUAUACUCUCCUAUCUCCUCUCCUCCUACCAUUUAUUAUCAAUUCUUUCUUUUUCUUUUUCUUUUCUUUUUUUUUUUUUGAAACAGUCUCACUCUGUAGCCCAGGCUGCAGUGCAGUGGGGUGACUUCAGCUCACUGCAACCUCUGCCUCAUGGGUUCAAGUGAUUCUCCUGCCUCAGCCUCCCAAGUAGCUGGGAUUACAGGUGACCACCACCACACCUGGCUGAUUUUGUAUUUUUGAUAGAUGGGGUUUCACCAUGUUGGACAGGCUGGUCUUGAACUCCUGGCCUCCAGUGAUCUGCCUGCCUCAGACUCCCAAAGUAGCUGGGAUUACAAGUGUGCGCCACCACACCCAGCUCAUUCUCAAUUAUUUUACCACUUAAAUGUGCACGUUUCUAAUGUUCCCUUGGCCCUCUCUGCUAUUAACUCUAAUACUUUCUCUGUGUACAAUGUUACUUGUGCUAGGACCACUCCCAAAGCUCAAUCUCUAGCCCAGACCUCUCUCCUAAGCUCCAGACUCUUGCAGCCAACUGCCUGCUGGUCAUUGCCCUUGAGAUAUCCACAAACAUUUCAAGCCAAACAUGAGAAAAUUCUCUACUACCCUCCUUUUAGCUGUAGCAAAACACUGGAUGUUUCUUGAAUGUAUGGAGCAAUUCCAUACUUCCUUGCCUUUCGCAUGCUUUUCCUUCAGUCUAGAAUGCUCUCCCUGCUCUACCUUUUCUUUGCAAGCUUAUGUUCAUCCUCUAAGGUGUAGCUUUUGUCUCUUCCUCUGUGAAGUAUUCUAGGAAGCCUUGUUCAACUCUUAUUUCCUCAAGCUUAGCACAGUGUUGGCACAUAACAAAUGCUAAAUAAAAGUUAGCUAGAUCAAUAAGCAGCAGCCACUGUGGAAGAAGACUGGACUGAAUCCUGAGUCUGGCUGAAUACCCUUGGGAUAGUUCAACUAUAAAAAAUAUGGAGACAAUAACUAUUUAACAGGCCAUUGUGAAGAGGAGAAGAGAAUUUAUGUAAAGAAUAUAGCCCAGAGUCUAGCCCAUCAUAGGUUUUAAAAAAUGCAUCUGACUUUUGGCAAGGGUGCGAAAGCAAUUCAAUGAAGGAAAGAUAGUCUUUUCAACAAAUGGUACUAAUACAGUUGGACAUCUGUAGUCAAACAAAAAUGAACCUCAACCUAAGUCUCACAGAUUUUUACAGUAAAGUCAGGAUGGAAUACACAGUUACGUGUAAAACCAUAAAACUUUCAGAAAAAAAUAGGAUAAAAUCUCCAGGACCUAGGAAUAGUCUUGACACCAAAAGCGUUAUUUUUUUACCUUAUUUAUGUUGAAGGACUAAAAAAGCAUUAUUUAUAAAGGGAAAAACGGAUAAAUUAAACCUUGUCAAGAAAAAAAAAAGGCCAGGUGCUGUGGCUCACUCCUGUAAUCCCAGCACUUUGGGAGGCCAAGAUGAGCGGAUUACUUGAGGUCAGGAGUUCGAGACCAUCCUGGCCAACAUGGUGAAACCCCAUCUCUACUAAAAAUACAAAAAUUAGCUGGGCAUGGUGGCAGGCGCCUAUAAUCCCAGCUACUCGAGAGGCUGAGGCAGGAGAAUCGCCUGAACCCAGGAGGCAGAGGUUGCAGUGAGCCAAGAUUGCACCACUGCACUCUAGCCUGGGCAAAAGACUGAGACUCCGUCUCAAAACAAGAAACAAAACAAAACAAAAGCAAAAAAA
rnacentral:lncRNA from 1 species